GUGCAGCUGGUCCAUUACAAGACAGAAAAUCAAUGUGCUGAUGUUUUAACUAAAGCUCUGCCUAAAGCUAGAUAUGAAUUCUUAAGACAAAAGCUUGGUGUAUGCAGCUCCAAAGCCAAGGAGGAGUGUUAAGUAUCAUGUCUUUGAAUCUGUCAACAAAUUCAGUUUAUGUUUUGCUAUUCUUUAGGAAAAUAAACCAGUCAAAUAUUAGUUGAGAUUAGGCUGAUAUGUUGCAGAUUUUUCUGCAUUUUAGUUUCAACAUUAUGCUGUGUAAAUU
rnacentral:misc_RNA from 1 species